UCAAAUAAAAAAGUUUUACAUACAAGGGCUUGAUUUUGAUCGAUCAGUUUAUAUGGCAGCUAUAUCCAAUUGUGGUCCGAUACCGGCGAUUCCGGAAAAUGAGCGGCCGCUUGGGGAGAAAAGAACGUGUGCAAAAUUUCAGAUCGAUAUCUCAAAAACUGAGGGACUAGUUCGCGUAUAUACAGACGGGCGGACAUGGCUAGUCAGCUUGUCAAGCUGUUCACUUUGUAUAUAAUUUAUGGCGUUUCCGGCGUUUCCUUCUGGGUGUUCCAUACUUCAUGGCAAACUGUUCCGCGUAAAAAAAUGUAAUGGCAUCAAGCUGAGAGCCAUAGUAGUUAACUUCCAGAAGUAGCUCUUAUCUAAAGCCUGGAUUUUACACGAAAUUUAAAAUAUGACCAAGCCGAAUAUUUGAUAUUGUAAAAACAAAAUCCAAGUUCAAGUCACCGGAACCACAUUAGACCGACUUCCGGCUUUAAUUUAAGCGGAAACGGAUGAUAGCUAUCAAACGUAUCAGAGACGGAGGUAUUCGUAUGUUUGUGGAAAGAGAUGACAACAGGCUUCAAUAGGAAGCCCUUUUAUUAUAACUGCAAUGGCUUAGAGAUUAUAGACUAUUCAAAGCAAUAACUAUAAUAUCAGUUCUAGCCUUAAAAAUAUGUAAGUACAGUAAGAAAACUAUCGUCAAUAUUUUUAAAAUUUAUAAAGAUGCUAUGCUAUGCUCACAGAAAAUUUAUAGAAAAUGUGGAUUGAAACCAUGACGAAACAACUUGGACAUAUUUUCUGAAUUAUAAAUUUUUCUGUAAUAAUAAAACAGUAUCUAAGCUCAUAUACAUAUUUGUAUAAAAAUUCAAAGCAUUUAACCUUUUUUAAAAAAAUGGUUUUAAUAAAACCUCAAAUAUCAUUAAUAAUUAUGAUUUAAUUAGUUUUUUUAUAUGACUUUUUAAGUUCCAAGCCGAGGGUUCUUUAUCUUUAAACCAAGAGCUGCCGAGGAGUGACUUAGAAAUUUUACGCUGCCACGAAACUUAUUGUUAUUACGAGAAGAAACCGACGGACAUGAUUCCGUAUUUUGGUGUUUAGUGAUUGUUGUUGUAGUUGUAACGACAUAAAAUAUUCGGCAAUUUAUUUAGAGAAGACGAUAAGUCAUUAAAACCCGUGUUGCUAUGUUUAAGAAGUUCAAGACCAACAUCUCAGUUAACGUCCCGAAAUCAUUAGAUUGCCAUGGAAACGAGUUGGAAGCACUAAAACCGGUUUAUGGAAUUGGUAAACACAAGUAUGCUUUAAAAUGGGUCACAUGAGAAUAUGAUUUGACGCUCUCCUGUCAAAUAUUGAUUUGAAGACAUUUAAAUAUUACAUGACCCCACAAUUCUACGACACGUUUCUGUCACUGUAUAUGUGUGCAACAACAAAAGUGUUUUUCGAAGUGUGUAUACAUACAAUACAUAAAUGAGUUAGAGUUUUUUCCGUAUUAAAGCACAUAGGUGUAAUUAAAAAAAAAAAAAUAAUAAUAAAUACAAAUUUUUACACUUUAUUGAGCGAAUAAACGACAUUAAGAGGAACAACUCGCGAUCACAAUUUUGAUAAGCGCACAACGAGACCAACAAAGAGCUGCUCUAUAAAGUUUACGAGUUACAUACAGCGCAAAGUGUAUAUUAUUGUAAAUACAAAUAAAUAUGUACACACAGCAGUCACCAGCUGAGCCAACAAGGGACCCACGGACUUGCCAAUCAGAUACUAUGCGCACACAAUCAAGCCAACAAAAUAAUCACUUCAAAUUGCUGUUGCUGUCGACGUCGCCUUUGCUUUUGUAACCUUUCAUUUACUUCGUUUGUCAUAAUGCCGUUGCGAAGUUAAGGCAGUCGGCAGUGCUCAUAGCUCACUUGUGGCCACCACUUAGUAAAUCAAUUUACCUAUCGGGCCGAAAAUCUAUAUAGUUUUAAACAGAAAAAUAUUCCUCACCGCCAGACACUGUUUCGGAGGUCCUACUGAAAGCCGGCUACGGGAUCAAGGGAUUCCAAAAUUUUUCAAAAUUCAUCGCCGAUUAUUAAGGAACAGUAAAUUAUCUUAAAGUACAUUAUCUUUAUUUAUUAAAUAAAAUACAGCAAAAACGCAAUUUUCUGAAUUGCAAAUGGAUAUGACCACUUAAUUGACUGCACAAUACUUAGCAUAUUAUAAAACUAUAUUUACCGUUUCAACGACAGCCGCGUCGAUGUAACCGAAAUGAACGCGAAAUAAUGAAAUAUCACCCCAUCGACAUACCCAAGAAAAUCUGAGAAAUUGUUUAUAAUACUACAACAACAAGAAGAGCAACCAUAUUAACUCUGAUUCUUUUUAUUACUUUUAGGAAGUUAUAACCAACAAUUAAAGAAACUUUAUUAGCACUGACGAUAAGUUGAUUUUCCGGACUUUUUUACAGGCCAUUAUACGUUAAUUACAACAACAUUUUCACAAGAAACGUAAUAGUAUUUACCUAAUAAUAUAAGCAAAUAGACUUGUAAGACAACAGCAACGAUUUAUUGCAAUGAGUCGUUAGCACUUAAUUAAAGU